rnacentral:rRNA from 1 species
AGUUCAAGAGUACGUGAAACUGCUUAGAGGUUAAGCCCGAUGAACCUGAAUAUCCAUUAUGGAAAAUUCAUCAUUAAUAAUAUGGUAUUUAUAAUAUUGUAGUAAUAGUGUGCAAUUUUUCCAUAUAAGGACAUUGUAAUCUGUUAAUGUAAUAAAUAUUUAUCAAAAGAUCCUUUACUUAAGUUUAUUCAAAUUAGUUAUUUUCGGAUUUCUAACAUAGAUUAAAUGUAUUGGAUUUGAUAAAUCAUUGACAGAUAUAAUUAUAUAAUGUGCUUAAAUUCUUUUGAAUUUUAUAAUGAUAGAUAAAUCUAUUGAUUUGUUUAUUUAAUUAUAUGCACUUUUAUGAUUAACAAUGCGAUAGAUUCAGGAUACCUUCGGGACCCGUCUUGAAACACGGACCAAGGAGUCUAACAUAUGUGCAAGUCAUUGGGUAUUUUUAAUAAAACCCAAUGGCAUAAUUAACUUAACUGUUAUUAAUAAUGGGAUUAGUUUAUGUUUUGUUAUGAAAUAUGAAUUCAAUCCCGGGGCGUUCUAUACAGUUAUGUAUAAUGAUAUUUAUAUUAUUUAUGCCUCUAACUAGAGCGUACCUUGAGCAUAUAUGCUGUGACCCGAAAGAUGG